UACGUAGGGUGCAAGCGUUAUCCGGAUUCACUGGGUUUAAAGGGUGCGUAGGUGGGCAGGUAAGUCAGUGGUGAAAUCUCCGGGCUUAACCCGGAAACUGCCAUUGAUACUAUCAGUCUUGAAUACCGUGGAGGUAAGCGGAAUAUGUCAUGUAGCGGUGAAAUGCUUAGAUAUGACAUAGAACACCAAAUUGCGAAGGCAGCUUACUACCCGAAUAUUGACACUGAGGCACGAAAGCGUGGGGAUCAAACAGG
rnacentral:rRNA from 1 species